GACGAACGCUGGCGGCGUGCCUAAUACAUGCAAGUAGAACGCUGAAGGAGGAGCUUGCUUCUCUGGAUGAGUUGCGAACGGGUGAGUAACGCGUAGGUAACCUGCCUGGUAGCGGGGGAUAACUAUUGGAAACGAUAGCUAAUACCGCAUAAGAGUAGAUGUUGCAUGACAUUUGCUUAAAAGGUGCAAUUGCAUCACUACCAGAUGGACCUGCGUUGUAUUAGCUAGUUGGUGGGGUAACGGCUUACCAAGGCGACGAUACUUAGCCGACCUGAGAGGGUGAUCGGCCACACUGGGACUGAGACACGGCCCAGACUCCUACGGGAGGCAGCAGUAGGGAAUCUUCGGCAAUGGACGGAAGUCUGACCGAGCAACGCCGCGUGAGUGAAGAAGGUUUUCGGAUCGUAAAGCUCUGUUGUAAGAGAAGAACGAGUGUGAGAGUGGAAAGUUCACACUGUGACGGUAUCUUACCAGAAAGGGACGGCUAACUACGUG
rnacentral:rRNA from 1 species